UAGCUCAGUUGGUAGAGCAUGGAGCUUGCAAUGCUAGGGUUGUGGGUUCAAUUCCUAU
rnacentral:tRNA from 1 species